GAAAGCUUAUGCCCAAAUAAAUUUGUUAGUCUCUAUGGUGCCACAAGGAUUCCUCGUUAUUUUUACUUUAUUUUAAUGUAUUUUGGAGAGAGAAAAAUAGAGGCAGGAGAAUAACGUGAUUUAAAUGAAAGGCAGAUAGAUAUGGGGGCCCUGACAUCAAUGCCUGUAUCUCCCCCUCUCUUCUGGCUGAUGUUAUCACUACCAGGAAGGCUGGUUUUAUGGAAAGAUGAAAAAGAACUUGUGUUGAAAGGUCCAAGAGGUGGGCCUAUUAACCCUCUGAGAACAAUUAGAUCCCAAGAAGGGGGGGGGGGGGGGGGGGGGGGGGGGGGGGUUCCUCUAACUUUCAUAAGAAUCUGGCCACUGUGGGGUGUGAGAAUGUAGAAGCCACUUGCAAUGGACAGUGGAGAGCUGAGAUGGUUGCUAGAUGACCCCUUAACAGGUUCACAGAUAGUCCAGUGUUCUUUAAAUUCAGGAGAUAAAUUCCAGUCUAUCUAGAAUCUUUGCUUGAGAUGGUGAUAACUGGUGGUGUUAUGACCAGAUCAUGAAUCUCUUCAAUUUAGCAGCAUAAGUAUGUCUGGUAGAGUCUUUUCUGCUGUGGACAGGGACACUUUGUACUGCAGAUGAGCAGGUUCUUUCUACUGAAGUCAGUCAGCCAGUAUUUAUGCUGUUAAGUGUAGGGAAUAUGGGAUGAUGGACUUGGCCGUGCCUCCAUAUUAUGACCUCUGGUUGGAGAGCUAUGUGUAUUGACGGUUGAAUGGAGAGAUUCUUCAGGCCUGAUACCAGAACUGUCUUGAUCAUGCUGGAGCUACCAUGAUCAUUAUGGCAGAGUCCCAUCUGAGCUUCCUGAAAGCACUGGGGAUGAACAGAAUUGGAGGGUAAGCGCACAGGAGACCUGAUGACCGUGAAAUCAGAGAUGCAUCAGGCAAUGACCCCUGACUUAGUCUGCGUCCAAACCAGAAAUUUUGACAUUUCCUUUUUGCUCUUUUGGCAAAGCGGUGUAUGCUGGAAUGACGACAACAUAAGACCUCUCUCUCAAGUGUAAUCUAUCAGCCUGUAACGGGUGUCUGAAAACUGCUCACUAAGGUGAUCUGCCAGCACAUACUGUAUUGCUGGGAGAGGAACAGCCUUCAGAGUAAUUUCACGAUGGAUACAAAAGUUCCAAAGAUGUACACCCUCUUAACAUGAAGGAGUAGACCUUACGCCCCAAUGCUUGUUUACAUAAAAUGGCUAUUAACUCCAGGACAUUUGUGUGGAGCCUUGCUUCCUGAGGAGUCCAUGUGGCUUGUGUUUGUGAUCGUCUAAAUGGGCUUUCCAUGCUAAAGUAAAGGAAUUUGUCACCAAUGUUUUUGAUGGUAGUGAAGGGGAGAAUGGUUGUCCCAUUGCAGACUUUGAAGGGCCCCUUCCACCAAUUUAAUGACAGGACUUCUGGUGGAACAUGUAUUAGGAUGGACAGGUAAUGUUAGCUUAGCUGAUACAUAAUACAGAUCUCAAACACCCUUGCAUGCAACAGAAGUCUGGCAGGCUGAAUUACAAAGGUGCAGGGGCCAUGUGUCCCAGCAGUCAAAAAAGCUCUCACUGAUAUCCUGUGGUAAACAUGAAGGUCGACAGAUAGGUCUAAUAUGACUUGGACUCUCUGGUGGUAGACAAGCCAUCACUAUUAGGGAGACCAGCACGACUGCUAUAAAUUCUAUUUUUUGUGUUGGAGUCCGUAUUGACUUCUUUUUGUUUACUUUAAGGCCUAGAGAGGCGAACAGUUGCAGAGUCUGUUAAAUGAAGUCUAUUACUUGCUGGCGCACCUUCCCAUGAAUGAGCUAGUCAUCAAAAUAUGGGAAAACUUGGACUACCUGUCUCCUGAGAUGGGGAAAACUGAGACAGAGAGCGGUUAAGUGACUUGUGCAAACUCACACAGGAAGACUUUCGCAGAGACAAGAACAGAACUCCAAUCCCCUGACUCCCAUGCUGGUGCUUCAACCACAAAACCAACCAACCCUCCUGCCUGUCUUUAACUUGUCAGUGCCUUUAUUGAAGAUAUUAAGUAAUGUCAAAAGGAAGAGCAGAGACAACAUCUUCAUUCUCUUCCUGCAUCAGACACCUUCAAGCAGUCUACUGUGCCGCUUUCUGAUUUAACUUUGCAGAGCCAUCCCUAAAUCCUCCAUAGGGAAAGAUUUCCCAUGCCUAAGUGCUCUCUUGCCCCUCACCUCUAUUUCAGCUACCGAAGGCUCCUUGCUGAAGCACAUGUUCAUGAUGUUUCUUGCCGUCCGGUAAAAGGUUGUUAAAGAAACAGACCUACCCUGUGAAUCAAGAGAGCACGAUUAAAAGUGAAAAUAAAAAUGGUACCUUCGCCCCCCACCUCCAGUGUUAUUUACUGUGCAAACCUUACCUUCCUCAGCCCAAGACCAGGAGAGGGGAAGGGACAAAAUGUUCUCUAAGAACAGGUACAAUAGAGUCCAUUGAUCUAAUAUACAUUUCUUCCUGAAGCAAGUAUCUCAAAUGCCAUUAAAAGCAGUAGGGAACUCCAGCUUUUACCAUGGCAAGCAGCAGCUGAUACAGCAAGUGAGCCUAUGCAGAUGUCAUUUUAAAACUUCCACCAAGUCAGUUUCCAUUUUUAAGGUCUCACUUUUUAGGAAAAGUGUUUUAACCUCAUUUAACCUAUUUUUCUGUGCAAACAGAUGCUGUUCAUGAUAGAACAUGCACUACAUGGAGAACAGGAGGACACAAAAAGGAUGACUCGGAGCUAAGUUAUACUUUAUAUUCAGUAAUUGCAUGUACAACAACAACAACAAGGCAGCAAGGCAUGGUUCAAUAACAAUAUUAUGAAGACCAGGGAUUGGUAUGGAGGGGCAGGGGGGUUUACAAAAGCAAAAUAGUAAAAUGUGUGUUGCUUCCUUCCUCCACUACUUUGUCUGCAUGAUGUCCUUUAGAUUGUAAGCUGGUUGGGACAAGGAACUGUCUUAUUUUUGUUCUAUACAACACUUAGCAAACUUCUGAAUAUUCUUUUACAUGUAUAUUAUUCUUAUAUAUUAGAUGCUCACACACACAUAUAAUAAUAAACACAUUUUCAAUCUAAUAGAGAUCAAUAGGAAGACAUAGCACCAGCCCUUUGUAUAUCUGCAACCAGGUUGCCAAAGAUCUUAGUAAAAUACGGUGGUCAAGUUCUCAGUGUAUGAUCCAAAGUUUGAAAUUUGGAAAUGUGUAAAAUAAGCCUUAAAAGUGUUUUUAUGUUAGUAUUAUCUGAGACCAAGUUAAAGGCUUACAAGAAAAGAGACCGUGUGGAGACAGGAAACAUGCCCCCCCUUUAAGGCUUGGGGAUAUUGGAACCUGCCUAUACCCUCUGGUGAAAAUGCAGCCUAUAUUUAGGUUUCAAGUUCUUCCAUCACUCUAAACCAAGAAAAUAACCUUGAAAGCUAAGGGAUGUGAAGGAUGACAGCACCCCGCCACCAAACCUUGCAAUAUUUUGGUCUAGCCACGGUGAUAUGUACCGAUUGUAGUAGGCCAGGCUAAGUACAAGAGAAAUGUUAAAAAGGAAGUUAAAAAGGAAUUCCUGCUUUACAAACAUGAAGUCUAUCCCUUGUCCCCAUAUCUACCUCUCUCUUUCCUCUGACACCAAAUUACCUUCCCUCACAUUUGCCAACCCUCUUCCUCUCAAAAAAUAAAGGAAAACCUAAGAACCAACCCCACACCCCCUCCGGAUCUAAACUUCUGGUAAAUGAACAUUUAAUUAGUUGGAUUAUUUUGUUUUUAUUUUUUAAAAUGGUGAAACAUGAUCUGCUAAAUUGCUAAGACUGUAUUUCUGCUUACUUUGAGCAAGAACUCUACCCAAGAGUAAACCAGGGAGAAUUACACAGCAGUUUGUCGUUGUUUUCUUUUUCCUAUAAGAGACUAAGCCUGUUGCUAAAACAUGGAUGGUCCUAACUUUUUGUUUUUGUUUGGUUUUAAACUGAAUGCAGGGCAAUUAGCUGCUACAAGAAGUCUGUAAAAUGCCCAGGGCCCCAGACUCUCAUAAACCUCUGAGCUGGAUGGUCUGUGAUACAAUGAGCAAUUUCCUUCAUCUUUUACUGCCCUUGUGAAUCUUUUAUUGAGGCAGGCUUUGAAAACAAAUCCUCAAAUCCCUCUGCUCCUACAGUCUUCAAACUUGUACAUAUACUUCCCUGAUGACAAGCUGCUAACGAAUGCUCUAUAGAAGCUUUUUAGGUUUAAGAUGGUUUGCCUGCCACUUUGUCAUACAAAAGAGAAUAGGAUUCAGGACUGAUCCUCCAAAAUUAACUAUGUCCUCCAAAUUCUGAGAUGGGCGGCUGCCCUAUCAUAGGGAAGAAACCUGCAUACAAUAGUGGACAGCAUUGUUAAAAAGAUUGAAGUUCUUGAUUCUCUCAAUCAAAAAAUUUCACAUCCCCCACCUCGGCCCGAAAGUCACAAAACAUAUAAAGGCUGAUGAGCUUUCUACAUGAAAAAUAUGACAAUAUUUUCUUGAGGAUCAUUAAGAGAAAAUAUUUUAAGACUUUGCACUCUAAAAUGGAGCUGGCUGAAAAUAGAUUCACCAUACAAAAUUAUUACUGAAGUGCAAAACACCUUUUGAGGCCCCUGAGAAGAUCUGAACAGUUGAUACUAAGGAUCCUCUAGGAACUUAGAAGUAUUAAGCAAAAUCUUUGAAGCAGUGAGGAGCCUUAACAGAAGAAUAGCUGAAUUGCAAAAUUAUAUUGUGAUACCUCAUUCUACCUACAUUACUAUUAAGGAGAGAAAAGGGGAAGGUAAGAGUCCUGAAGAUGAACUCAGGUCAGGAGUGCCCAGACUACGGCUAGAUGAAAUUUUUCAGACAUUUUUUUUGCUGAAAAACCCAAAUUCAGGUCAACCAAACAUUUCAUGAGUUUGUGCCAUUUUUAGUUAAUUGUUUUAGUUUAAACUAAUUGUUUUGUCAUUAUCCAAACAAAACACCCAAACCCAGAUUUUUUUUCCUGCUAGACUCGCAGGGGAGUUAGGCAUGCGAAGGAAGAGGUAGUGGUGGUGUGGGAAACCCAAGUUUGAUCCCAGCUCUAGAGCAGGGACUGGAACCCAGUCUCUCCCUCCCAGGUGAGUGCCCUAACCACCAGACUGUUGGCUAUUCUGGGAUGGGGGUAUCAAUAUCUCCUGCUGAAGGAGUUUCACUUUGUAUAAAUAAUUAGUCAUGAGAGCAGGGACUCAAACCCUGGGUUCUCCCACCUCUCAAGUCACCAGGCAACAAAGUCACACCCUCUCUCUCUCUCUCUCGCCCAAUGACUAUUCAAGUAUUUUAUCAAAAUAUUUUAGUACUUCUGCAUAUGGCAUUGGUGAGAACUGUACUGGAAAACUGGUGGUCUCUUCCUAAAAAUAUGCCCCAAUACAACCACAAGAUAUUAGACUUGAUGCAGGAAUUACCGGGUGAAAUUCUAUGACCUGUGUAAUGUAGGCAAUGACCAAUGAACACAAUGGUCCUUUCCAGCCCUAAUCUAUUCAUUUACAAAAACCUUUCUUAAAGUGGAGCUAAGGUUGCUGUCACACAAUAGGACCUUCCUAUCCCUAUACCCUUCUGGAACAUAAGGCUUCAAAACUCAAAUAUUAGGAAAUAUUCACUUAAGGUCUUCUCACAUAUCCCCAAAAGAAUGUUAGUGUGAUAAGAAAUGCCGCCCCCCCCCCCCGCCCCCAGAAAACACACUUAUGCAAGCCAGGGGAUCUGCAGUUAAAGUGCUGUUUCAUUCAUAAUGAAACCACACAACCUUAGCUCUAAUCCAUAAAUAGUACAGCUCAGCUAAGGAACCUGCACACUGUGGCUGGGAGCCACACUUGACUCACAGCAGGGCAGCUGUUCAUUCUGCAGAGUCAAGAACAAAAUAUAAUCUUAAAAACAAAAAUGAGAGUUAACUUUUAGAGCUUGUUCUCGAUGCUAGACACCAGUUCUCACUGCAUGUUUUUUCCCCUACCUCUGUACAGAAAGAUAUAAGAUGUGUUGUGAUUUUAGUAACAGAGCCAGAGGUUAAGGCUAGGAGGUCAUAUUUUGGGGGGCUGUGUCUCUGGAACCCCUUGAGCAAACAUUCUCAAAUGUGUAUCAUAUAUUCUACCCUGGCCCAUACCAAUUUUCAAACAGGUUUGAGUCUGACUGUAUGUGUGGUUUUAAGGAGGAUUGCAAGUUUGGCUGUAAGCAGAAAACACGUUGCAAUGUUCUCCAUAGUACCAUCCUGUAAUGCAAGACUUCAUGCCUGGUUUGGUUCUUGUAUCUUGACUGCUUUUGGUAGAUGGGGGUAGCAUGAAUCAUGUCAGCCCUGAAGUUCACUAAUAUUUAAUCGUUUACGUGCUAAAUCACAUGUACAUUUUAAAAGUACAUUUAUUAAACUUCAUUAGACCUAUAAUUGGUCAUGGCACAGUGCCGGGGGAAGGACUUAAUGCCUUCUCAAGGUCCCUUCCAGUCCUACAUUUCUAUGAUUCUAUACUGGGUCUGACAUUGCGAAGUCCUGAGAGCCUUCCACAACGUUCUGAAAGCAUGUCAAUGAGAGUAUAAGAGCAUUUAGCACUUUGCAUGAGGCAUUCAGAACUUAGCAGGUUCAGGCUUAUUAUUACAGUGUUCAGGUAAUGGCUGAUUAAGAUAUUUCUCUGCACAGACUCACUCUUUUUGUGUGUGAUCUCUCAUCUCCCUCUAAAAUGUAACUUGGGGACUUUAUACUGGCAAGCAGUGGGGUGGUGUUUUGUAUGUGAAGAUCAGUAUGUUUCAUUUAUUAUUAAAUUCAAGAUAUUAAGUACAAAAAAGGCCUUUUAACUAUGCACAGGGAAUAUCAUUAAUGUAGCUGCCAUUAGAUAAGGCUUGUAUCUUUUAAUGUGAUAGAAACAUCAUUAACAGUUUGUUUUAACACGGGAGUGAGAAGGGAGCCCCAGAAUAGUACGCUCUUCAUCUGACAAAUUCUAAUGCAUUGCUGUGCAGAAGAAAUGUGAAUGAACUUUCUUAAAUGCAAUUCAUGAGCUUAGUCAGCCUCUAAAUAGCUUAACAAAAACUACUUCGGACAGUAACACUUGGAAUGCUAUCUGUUUUCAUUUCAUAGUGACAGGAGAGAGACUGGGGAGGGAAGAGUGGUAUAGCAGCUUACUGGCCGCAGACAGUAAGUACUGUAUAUCUCACUCUCAGCACUGCUAAAUAAUUCAAUCGAACUAAAAAGUACACUGCAAGUUGGGAUGCCAAUUCUUGCUCAAUAGUGGAAGGCUGCCAAUAAAAUACAAUGAAAGAGACAACAAUCCUUUGUAAACGGAUUUUAAAUGUGCUGGAGGAACAAGCAUUAUGACCAUUUGUGCUUAGCAAAAUUUGGCAUCACGGUUGAAAAUAUUGUUUGCAUUUCAAUUUGCACUUUCUAAAUCGUGUGUAUUUUUAGCUACAUUAGUUUUGAUGGCUCUAUCAAGGGAGUGGUACUCUGCUCAUUGAGCAACUGGCAAGAAACAGGCGUGAGAGAGCGGAACAUUACUUUAAACGUCACUAAAAAAUGAAAAUAAAUGUUGUGUCUGCUAGGAUAAUUGCUUAGAGUAUUUCUUACAAAGAGCCAACUCCAUAGAUGGAGGGGGACUAGUGUUCUAUGUAGCACAUCCACAAAAAUAACAUUUUCUAGUUUGUCAAGCUGCAGUAAAAUCAGGAUGGAGUUAAUACCCCCUCAUCAAACUGCCUGCAGCAAUUAAUAGUCCAGCCAUUGACGCUGGAAAAACACUGUGGCCCACUGGCUGACUCCAGCUGGGUCUCACCACAGUGCAGCACAGAGAACAUCCGUGUCAAUGCUUUCACAGAAGAAAAAUCAACAGAAGUGGUCUUUACUACCUUGUAUAUACACUUAUGUAAGUCGCUAAGAACUCCCUUCUCCUCCUCCUCCUUCUCGAUCUCCUUUUCCUGAGCGAAGAGUCGCCGCCUGCCUGUUUUCAAUGGGAUAUCAACUUCUUUCAACUUGUUACGGAAGCCGUUUUUGUGAACCACGCCAUUGAUGAGUCCAUUUUUGGGCUCGAACCGGGGCAAGGAAUGGAACUUAUAGGCAUUUUCUGAGUGUCCCUCCAAAGGACCUUUCCUCUUCUCUAAGAUCUCCUUUUCCAGCAGGACUUCCUUCUCUAGUUUCUUGUGCUCCUCAGAGGAGAGGGAGUCAUAGGAGAGCAAGUACUGGCAAUAGGCUUCCUGCAGCUUUGCUAGCCUGUCCUGCGCAGUUCUGGGGAUUCGUAGCAUAUCUGCCAGCUUGUUCCAUUUCUUGAGGUCAGUCACUUGCUGCAUGCCGCCCAUUUCAUU